GACGUAGGGCGCGAGCGUUGUCCGGAUUUAUUGGGCGUAAAGAGCUCGUAGGCGGCUUGUCGCGUCGAAUGUGAAAACUCGGGGCUCAACUCCGAGCUUGCAUUCGAUACGGGCAGGCUAGAGUUCGGUAGGGGAGACUGGAAUUCCUGGUGUAGCGGUGAAAUGCGCAGAUAUCAGGAGGAACACCGGUGGCGAAGGCGGGUCUCUGGGCCGAUAUUGACGCUGAGGAGCGAAAGCGUGGGGAGCGAACAGG
rnacentral:rRNA from 1 species